GAUGAACGCUGGCGGCGUGCUUAACACAUGCAAGUCGAACGGGAAACCUUUUAUUGAAGCUUCGGCAGAUUUCGCUGGUUUCUAGUGGCGGACGGGUGAGUAACGCGUGGGUAACCUGCCUUAUACAGGGGGAUAACAGUCAGAAAUGGCUGCUAAUACCGCAUAAGCGCACAGAUCUGCAUGGCUCAUUGUGAAAAACUCCGGUGGUAUAAGAUGGACCCGCGUUGGAUUAGCUGGUUGGUGGGGUAACGGCCCACCAAGGCGACGAUCCAUAGCCGGCCUGAGAGGGUGAACGGCCACAUUGGGACUGAGACACGGCCCAGACUCCUACGGGAGGCAGCAGUGGGGAAUAUUGCACAAUGGGGGAAACCCUGAUGCAGCGACGCCGCGUGAAGGAAGAAGUAUCUCGGUAUGUAAACUUCUAUCAGCAGGGAAGAUAAUGACGGUACCUGACGAAGAAGCCCCGGCUAACUACGUG
rnacentral:rRNA from 1 species